rnacentral:rRNA from 1 species
GAGUUUGAUCCUGGCUCAGAACGAACGCUGGCGGCAGGCUUAACACAUGCAAGUCGAACGCGUGUAGCAAUACACGAGUGGCGCACGGGUGAGUAACACGUGGAUUAUCUGCCUUUUGGUUCGGAAUAACCCCGGGAAACUGGGGCUAAUACCGGAUGGUUCCUUCGGGAUAAAGAUUUAUCGCCAAAAGAUGAGUCCGCGUCCGAUUAGCUAGUUGGUGGGGUAACGGCCCACCAAGGCGACGAUCGGUAGCUGGUCUGAGAGGACGAUCAGCCACACUGGGACUGAGACACGGCCCAGACUCCUACGGGAGGCAGCAGUGGGGAAUAUUGGACAAUGGGGGCAACCCUGAUCCAGCCAUGCCGCGUGAGUGAUGAAGGCCUUCGGUUGU